rnacentral:rRNA from 1 species
UUAAUACCGGAUACUCCUUCUUGUUAUAAGACAAGUCGGGAAAGUUUUUCGCUAAGGGAUCAGUCUAUGUUCCAUCAGCUUGUUGGUGAGGUAAUGGCUCACCAAGGCUAUGACGGAUAUCUGGUUUGAGAGGAUGAUCAGACACACUGGAACUGAGACACGGUCCAGACUCCUACGGGAGGCAGCAGUGAGGAAUAUUGCACAAUGGAGGAAACUCUGAUGCAGCAACGCCGCGUGGAGGAUGACGCAUUUCGGUGUGUAAACUCCUUUUAUUAGGGAAGAUAAUGACGGUACCUAAUGAAUAAGCACCGGCUAACUCCGUGCCAGCAGCCGCGGUAAUACGGAGGGUGCAAGCGUUACUCGGAAUCACUGGGCGUAAAGGGUGCGUAGGCUGGCUUUUAAGUCAGAUGUGAAAUCCAAUGGCUCAACCAUUGAACUGCAUUUGAAACUGAAAGCCUAGAGUUCAGAAGGGGCAGAUGGAAUUAGUGGUGUAGGGGUAAAAUCCGUAGAUAUCACUAGGAAUAUCAAAAGCGAAGGCGAUCUGCUGGGAUGAUACUGAC